rnacentral:rRNA from 1 species
AAACUGAAGAGUUUGAUCCUGGCUCAGAAUGAACGCUGGCGGCAGGCCUAACACAUGCAAGUCGGACGGUAACAGAGAGAAGCUUGCUUCUCUGCUGACGAGUGGCGGACGGGUGAGUAAUGCUUAGGAAUCUACCCUUUAGUUGGGGACAACGUAUGGAAACGUACGCUAAUACCGAAUAUGCUCUACGGAGUAAAGGUGGCCUCUACUUGUAAGCUAUCGCUAAAGGAUGAGCCUAAGUGAGAUUAGUUAGUUGGUAAGGUAAUGGCUUACCAAGACCGCGAUCUCUAGCUGGUUUGAGAGGAUGAUCAGCCACACUGGGACUGAGACACGGCCCAGACUCCUACGGGAGGCAGCAGUGGGGAAUAUUGCACAAUGAGGGAAACCUUGAUGCAGCCAUGCCGCGUGUGUGAAGAAGGCCCGAGGGUUGUAAAGCACUUUCAAUUGUGAGGAAGGUAGUGUAGUUAAUACCUGCAUUACUUGACGUUAACUUUAGAAGAAGCACCGGCUAACUCUGUGCCAGCAGCCGCGGUAAUACAGAGGGUGCAAGCGUUAUUCGGAAUUACUGGGCGUAAAGCGCGCGUAGGCGGAUU